CCUACGGAGGCUGCAGUGGGGAAUAUUGGACAAUGGGCGAAAGCCUGAUCCAGCCAUGCCGCGUGUGUGAAGAAGGCCUCCGGGUUGUAAAGCACUUUCAGUGGGGAAGAAAGCCUUGGGGCUAAUACCCUCGAGGAAGGACAUCACCCACAGAAGAAGCACCGGCUAACUCCGUGCCAGCAGCCGCGGUAAUACGGAGGGUGCGAGCGUUAAUCGGAAUUACUGGGCGUAAAGCGCGCGUAGGCGGUCUGAUAAGCCGGUUGUGAAAGCCCCGGGCUCAACCUGGGAACGGCAUCCGGAACUGUCAGGCUAGAGUGCAGGAGAGGAAGGUAGAAUUCCCGGUGUAGCGGUGAAAUGCGUAGAGAUCGGGAGGAAUACCAGUGGCGAAGGCGGCCUUCUGGACUGACACUGACGCUGAGGUGCGAAAGCGUGGGUAGCAAACAGGAUUAGAUACCCCAGUAGUC
rnacentral:rRNA from 1 species